rnacentral:tRNA from 1 species
GGAGGCAUGGCUCAAGUGGUAGAGUGUCUACCUAGCAAGUGCAAAGCCCUGAGUUCAAAACUCAGUACUAUUU